CACAUCUAGAUCCAUACUUUUUGGGCUCAACUCAGGGUUACCAAAAUAGAGUCAAACUCAACUCAGGAUUACCUAAAUGGAGUCAAAUUUUGUGUGUGGUUUUGUAACAUGAUUCUUUCAGUCAUCAUUUCCUGGCCACAUUUUUCAUGUCACUCAUGACUGCAUUAUAAGUUUGUACCAUAAUUCAUUUAACCAAUACUCUGUUGUGCAUUUAGAAUAUUUUCAGAUGUUUAUUGUCCUUAUAAAAGUCAGUAUGAAGGUAUGCAAUUAUCACUUAGGCCACAUUCCUGGAAGUAAAAUUGUUGGAAUGGAAACUAUGUACAUUUUACAGUGCAGAUUGCUGGAAGAGUUUUAUGCAAAAAUUUAUACAAAAAUUUACACUCUUACCAGCAGAAAGCCUCAGCGCCACUGAGUGCUAUUGUAUUGUUAAUCUUGAUUAAUCUGGUAUGUGAAGAAGGAUGUUUCAAUGUUUUGUCUGUGUCUCUCUGAUUAUUUUGCUUGUUGAUUGGCCAGUUGUUAAUUCUGUCUUUGUGAGUUGUCUUUUUCUCAGUACUUGGCCUAUUUGUCUUUGAUUUGAAAAAGCUCUUUAUGUUGUAGUCAUUUUAAUUCCUGUCAUAUGUUUUGUAAACAAUUUUUCGAGUUCAUAAUUUUUCAAUCUUGUUUGUAUUAUAUUUUGCCACACAAAAAUUUUAAAUUUGUAUAGUCAAAUUUAUCAGUCUUUUUCCUUAUGUUGGACCUUCUAAUCUCAAGGUACUAAAUAUAAUCUAGCAUUUUUUUAAACAUUAAAAAUUUUUAAUCCAUCUAUAAUUUAUUUUAGGAUAGGGAGUGAGGCAGGGGAAGGUAUCUUUUUAAAUAAAAAUCAUUGCUAAAUGGUUGGCUAGUUGUCCUAUUAAUAGUCAUUGAGACCAGGAGCGGUGGUUCACCCCUGUAAUCCCAGCACUGUGGGAGGCUGAGGUGGGAGGAUCACUUGAGGUCAGGAGUUCGAGACUAGCCUGGGCAACAUGGCGACACACAAUCUUUACAAAAAAUAAGAAUUAACAGAGGCCAGGCUAGUCUCGAGCUCGUGACCUGACGUGAUCCUCCUGUCUCCGCCUCCCAAAGUGCUGGGAUUACUGGCAUGAGCCACCGAGGCUGGCCUGAGUAUUCUAGUUUAUAACUUACAAGGUCAUUCAUAUGUAUAUGUUGUUGUGCUUGUCUAGCUAUUUUAUAUUUUGUUAUUCUGAACUCUUGGCCUCUAUCUCAGCUCCAGCCCCUGAAAGUGCAGGAGUGCUUUUGCUCUGCCAGUCGGCCUUUUUUGGGAAAUCAUAUCAAGAUGGCUUUUCCAGCACAAUUACUUCCUAGAGUGUCUGCUUGAUGCAUGGAAACUCAUAGAUUUUUGGCAUGCCAAACAGAGGGUUAUCCUGCCGUCACUGCUGGCUCCAGCCACAGACUUCAGUUUUCUUACCUGUUAGAGCCUUUGUCCUCUGACUGGUGGAAAUGGAGCUUGCUUCUUUUUGUUUUGCCUGCCACUAGUCUGGCAGCCUCCACCUCUUGACCCUUGGGUUUCUUAUCCUUGGAAUCAGAUACGAGGCCCUGUGUCUUCUGUUGCUGUAGAGGACACAAGUCAUAUUCUCUGAGUGGAGAUCUCUCUGAAGCUCCUCUUUCCAGGCUUUUACUGAGGGACCUCGGGACCCUCUACCACGUGGUGUCAAAGCUGCCAAGAGCUGUCAUAUGCUGGGUCUGUAAAUUGACUUUCUCACCUCUGACCAGAUGCAUUCACUUGAGCGGCACAGAGAUUUGGGGGAGUGAAAGGGCACUGUUUCUUUGGGUCCGUGGGCUUGUGUCCCAUCCCCUAGCCUUGGGGUUAGCAGGAUUCAGAAUUUAUGAGUGUGGUCUGCAAAAGUCUACCUCUACCAGAUGGGGGAGAACCUAGUGUGUGGACCUGAAGGGUUAGCUCUGUGCUUUAGUCCCUGGGAGUGGCCAUCUUGAGUCUUGGUGGGCUUGGCAAGUAAGGAGACAUUGACCAGAUUCAAAGCUUCCAGAGGUGGUGAGAACUCCAGGGCCCAGUAAUGGAGAGUACAAAGGUCCUUCUUAGCCCCCAUGACCCUUCCAAGCCAAGAACUUGGCAGUAGCUGUGAGAAGCAGAGAUAGGGAGAGGAGUUGAGGGGCACCUAUAGCUCUUAGCCAUGAGUUAUGACUCCCUGAAUCCAAGGGAGACCCAAGGACAUGAAAGGGGACUCAGUUCCAAGGAUCAGAGGGAACUUGGGUUGUUUUGGGAUAAUGACUGUGGCUUGGGAUGUCACAGAGAUGAACACCAGAAUUGGUGUGCAACAGAUGAGCUCCAGUACCCCUGAUGGUUUGCAUGGGUUUUGCUCUGCUGAUGAUGGUCAGGGACAGCAGUGAGGCCCUUUACAAUGCCGCCUUCCGCCUAAACACAGGCAGUGCCCACAAAAGGGGAGCUGUCAUUAUGGAGCCUAGGAAUGAAUAGUCAGAGAGCAGCGGCUGGGCAGUGCAACUCCUGCAUUGGACAAGGUCCUGGCUAGAGAAUGUCAAUGUCCACACUGCAUGUAGCCCUAUCGAGGAGAUGAUGUAGGGGGCUGUCAGCCUUGGAGACUCUAGCCUAAGUACCCCACCACCACUCUGGCUGGGUUCCAAGGGCACAAAUCAGCUUUCUGAAUCUGACUUGGCUUCCUGUGAUCUGCAUUCAUGAACAUUCUUACUAGAGUUCUCAUGGAAAAUGAAUACACAACUAUUUGGUCUGAAUGUGUCUGAGUUUGGUGUCUCCAAAACAAUUCUCUGGAUUAGAUGGAGAAUGAAGAAACUUCACAAAGGCAAAAGAACAGGUCCCCAUCCCGACCCCCAGAGACCACUUCUCAGAGUCUCCAUCUGUUCAUCUCUGGUGUUAGCCACGUUCCUUUACUUUCCCUCAUUUCUGUGGCCACUCCUGUGGCUUCCUCUCUUUCAACCUGCAGGCUGCUGCUGCCCUGCCUCAGACCCUUGUAGGCUUCUGUAGAGAUGCUACUCAGAUGGGGGUGGAGCUAGAUGCAGAGCUGAAACCCACCUAGGAGAUCUAGCUUGGAGAGCUUGUGAAUCUUAGGAGAGCUAGGCAUAGAAUGACUAAAGUUUGUCACCGCAUGAGAUAAAAUAAAUGAAAAGCCACUUCUGGAGGGAAUGAGGCAGUCUGCCUUUAUUGGAGAGAUACAUAUUGUUGAACAGCUCUGGGCAGUUGACUGUGUGCCUGGGAGAGCUAACCAUGUUUACUCUACACUUGACCUGUGAUGGUCUGUAUUGAUUGUAUCACACGCUUAGCUUUCUAAGGCUAACCAGGUCAUCGUCCUCAGUCCCUGCCUGCAACUAGGUUGCCAACUGGCCCUUGAUUUCCCACCCAACUUGUUCAGUUUGCCCUCAAUCCUGGGGCUUCACUAAUUUCCCAAAAAGAUAUGAUUGGUACCACCUGUAGUUUGCUGUUGCAUGUUAACCUGACUUUUGGGAAACUCAAAUAAACACUUUUCAAACGCAUUGACCAUUUUUACUCUAUGACUUCUGCUUUGCAUGAUCGCUAGCUUGGUCACCCUUCAUGCUGCUUUCUGGUGAGCUGAAAGGAAAAUAAAUGGUCUAAAUUGAGCAACAAGAAAGCAAACUUCUUUUAAGCAGGUACUUUCCAAGUGAAAUGAGAACCAGAGAUUGGGUCCAAAAGAGAGGAUGCCCAGCUAGACUGAACUUUCAAGUGUUUUCCAACUGGAAAGCUCCAAUGUUCUCUGAUCUCAGUGAAUUUCCAAUCUAAUUUCAAGGAAGUCCCUCGGGAGCCCCAUUGCAAGGGUGGUUAUAGAACCAUUUACAACUGCUUUAAUAAAACUAAUGCUUAUAAAGAAAGAAAACUUGUUUUUUAGUCAUCCAUAACACAAAAAAGUGAGGUUUGAUGCACAGUAAAAGGAAUCAUUAUUUAAGUUAGUCUGAGUUAUAUUGUAUUUUGGAAAUGCUCCACAUUCAAUAUUUAUGCCACAUACUCUAAAACCAAAGUAUGUAGAUUAAAAAAAAACUAUUUCCAGAAAUAAGCUUGCUGAAUCACCACAGGCUUAAUUUAUUUAUUUUAACUACCAGUUUCCUGAAUGUUUUUGUCUAAUUGGCCUAUUUGCAGUUGCCCUCGGUCCACCCUUGAGCCCACUCUUGAAGCCUGUCUGUCACUUAGAGAAGUACAAGUACUUCCUGCUGAGAAUAAAGCCUUGAUCGCAAUUUCAGUGAAUUAUCAGGGAAGUGUGAGAAUAAGUAGGAAUAAAUGUCUAAACAUUUGGGAAAAACUUGUUUGCAAUAAAUAUGGUUAACAGAGAGUGAAUAGGCUUACUACAUAAAAUUGUUACUCAUCAAUUAAAAAAACUGUACAAUCCUCCUCCAGGGGGAAAAUGAUCAGAUAUUUUAAGUCUGCUGAUAUUUUUCUCUGGAUGUCAGACCUGUAUACUUUGUCCUGCUUUAUUGGAGUAUAAUUGGCAAAUAAAAGUUUUAUGUAUUUAAGGCA
rnacentral:sRNA from 1 species